AUUGAACGCUGGCGGCAGGCCUAACACAUGCAAGUCGAACGAGUGGCGGACGGGUGAGUAAUGUCUGGGAAACUGCCCGAUGGAGGGGGAUAACUACUGGAAACGGUAGCUAAUACCGCAUACCAUCGGAUGUGCCCAGAUGGGAUUAGCUUGUAGGGGGGGUAACGGCUCACCUAGGCGACGAGCCCUAGCUGGUCUGAGAGGAUGACCCGCCACACUGGAACUGAGACACGGUCGAUACUCCUACGGGAGGGAGCAGUGGGGAAUAUUGGACAAUGGUGGCAAGCCUGAUGUAGCCAUGCCGCGUGUAUGAAGAAGGCCUUCGGGUUGUAAAGUACUUUCAGCGGGGAGGCGGUACCCGCAGAAGAAGCACCGGCUAACUACGUGCCAGCAGCCGCGGUAAUAC
rnacentral:rRNA from 1 species